CAGUGGCUCACCUGUAAUCCCAGUGCUUUGGGAGGACAAGGCAGGAGGACUGCUUUAGCCCAGGAGUUCAAGACCAGCCUGGGAAAUACUGCAAAACUCCAUCUCUACAAAAAUAAAAAUAAAAAUAAAUGAGCCAGGUGCAGUGGCGCAUGCCUGCAGUCCCAGCUACUCAGAAGGCCAAGGUUUCUAAUAACCAUAAGAUCAUACCAUUGGACUGUGUGAGAAUUUUCAGAACUCUAAUGAAGAAAUGAAUGGCUUCAUGAAACUGCCAAGCAAGAUCAAGCAGAUCAAGAAUUAAUUACGUGAAACUGAACUGAUGAAGAUUUAAAGAAACUAUUUCUCUUAAGCUUUCUAGAGCUUGCAGAGAUCUGGUAGCAUAUACUUUUGUGAACAGAAUUGGAACAAUUACUUUUUCUUCCUACCUGAUCCUGCUAGGACUCAGAAACUAUUUACAACUUUAAAGAACUAAGGUUGACUUUAUGGAGCCAAUAAAGCCCGCGCUUGGAUAAACUGGCCUGGUACUUUGAAAGCAUCGUUCAUAUGGUUGCCUUAGAGUCUUCUGGCUUGGAAUCACUAAAAAUUAAAGCACCCCUUUUUCUGAAGCCCUGCAAGGUGAAAUUAGAUGGCUUGAUACAGACUUCAGAGAAAUCACUACAACAGCUAUGUAGAGAUAACCUUCGGGCCUGCUGCUAUAUGGACUACUCAGAAAGCUCACUGGAACACCUGAAGCAAACUUUUGUAAACAAGGAAAAUCUGUCAGAUCAUCACUGCCUGCCCCUGCUCCAGCUGGAAAGGCUUUAAGUCCAGCAUCUAGAAAUCUUGACUGGCUGCCCUCUAGAAUUAAAAACUGAGUUUAUAGUUUGUUCUAACCAUUACACUUAUUUUUGUUGUUAUUAUUGUUUCCAUAGAAAUGCCUCUUGUUACAUAUCUGAUUGUUUGCACUGCAUUAGUGCCUAACUUUAGUGGAAGCCCAUUUGCAACACCUCUGCCUGAAGUGAGACAACUGCUAACUGUUUAACUCGACUGAGCUUAGGACUGAGAGGUCUGGUUCAAUAGCUAAUGAGAAUCCACCAAACCAAUUUCUGGAUGUGAAACUUCUUGAGGAAGUUUCAGACAGGGGACUAUCGGGGCUCAGAAAAUGAAAUCUCAAAGUAUGGCACUUUGGCAAGCUGAGUACUUUGAUCUAGAAAAUAUCAGAAAGCCUCGGAAGCAUGAUCUCUAUGACCUUUUCCCCGCCCUCCUGUCUCUCACCUCUCUUUCUCCCCUGAAGUGAGGCAUAGAAACCAAAAUUUCUCUUCCCCAAGGCGGGCCAUAGAAACUAGAACCCCUAUCCCCCAAAGCAAGCCAAAAAACCUAGAAAGGUCAUUCUCUCCCUUUGCCCUUCUUCCUUGAAGACCCUCAUUCCAGAGGGGUCCUGUCCCACACCCAGGAGGAAAGAAUGCUACACAGAGAGGCCAAGAAGACUCUGAACAGACAGGCCUUGCUGGGUUUUCCCCUGCAGUCUACUAUCAUUCAAUCGUACCCUUUUUGUCCAACACAUUUCUAUAUGGCUGUCCAUUCUUCAUCAAACAUAAGCAUACAAAUAGAUCAUUUUUCCUGGGUCUUUGGUCUUCAUUUCUGAGGCUCCUAUGUAAUGUAAAACUUUAAAUAAAUUUGUUACGCUUUAACCUGCCUCUUGUUGUAGGAGUGCAGGCCAUGACUCUUAUGAGGGGUAAGGAAGGGCAUUCAUUAUACAUUUCACCCCUACAAGCUUGAGGAAUCAAAAGCAGUUAAGCAGAUCUCAAAACUGACAGAUUAAUUGCCAUUAAUACAUAUUUUUAUUCUUAAAGUUUCUUGUUAAAUUACCCUAGAAGUUAAGAAAAACUUUACAAUUAUCCCAGUCAUGAAUUUGAAUUGAUUUAAAAAAUAAACAAAAAACAAUCAAACCAAAAAAAACACAAAAGACUGGAAAUUGGGAGAAAUUUCCAUUUUAAUCCAUUUAUAAAGAAGCAAUGAAAUGCUGAUAAUAGCAAGAGCGUUCAAUAUAUCAACAAACCACAAAUCAAACGAGAAUAAAAACAAAAUUCAAACUUGAGACAAGCAAGGUGAAGACAGAUUAGAUUUUAAACUGUUUUACAAAUUCUCUCAAAAUAUGUUCAUACUCGUCUCUAGCAGCCAUGUCUUUAAACUCUUCAUAUGAAAAGUGCCUAUUGUACAUUAAUUAGAUGGAAUAUUUACAAUUGCAUGUAUUUGUGAAUAAUAUAUAAAGUAUUUGCAUGUUAUAAAAUACUUCAAAUAUGAUCUGGCCAAGUUGGGAAUCACUUCUAUUUUUUAGUCAAAUGAAUCCGGUUUUCCCACUCAUUUCUGUUAUAAAUCAGAAAUGCAUUCCCAAAGAAAACAAAAAAGAAAGUUUCUGCCCCUCCCCCAAAAUAAUAAUGGUAAGAACGUGGCCAGUUCUGUGGCCUUUCUGGAAUUGUGGGCCCUAGUAUAUUGAGCUCCUCGGAAACUAAAAACAUUUGCAUUUUUAAUGUGGAAAGGUAUCAAUGUGUACCUCUCCUUAUGUGAGUAAAUUUGUAACUUCCCACAUCUGGUUUAUGUAAAAGUAAUACCUAUAAAAAGUCACAAAAGGUAGACAACAAAAUACAUUAAAGACAGACCAUUAACCCUCACACAUAUAGAAUGAAAUAACAGCAUACUAUGAACUCAUAUAAUAACAGUAUUCCAAAACUUUAAACUUCUCCUAAUAUUUGUGGUUCUUCUCCCAUGAGAAUAGUCCUAAAGCCCUUGGCCAGAGAUGUGGGCACCCGGGGAAUGAGACCAAGAGAGAGAAUGAGCUAAAACUAAAUUACACCUUCAGUUUUGCCACUAAUAUUCUCUAGGACUUGGUCAGUGGCUUAUCCUCAGAGCAUCUUAACUUACCCAUGGGCAAAAGGACCUCAAUGCCUUUCCUGCCAAACUCUAAAAGAAAAUGAAAGUCACUCUGAAUCCCUGUUAUAAAGGUCCUAUAAAUAUCUAUAGCUGUUAUUAUUAUAGGAAAACAUGCUUCAGCCCCAGAUACAACUAUUUCAGCUACACACGCAACACAACCAGGGAGAGAAGACAAAAGCUCGCUUUCACUAAGUAACCGUAUGAACUGGAAUAUAGUCAGUGGUCACCCGUGUAAUAUUUUUAUUAUCCAUAGUAGGCUAAAAUAUAAAAUAUAUAAAAGACGCAGCCUAUACAUUAACAAGUAUUCAAGGUAAAAAGGAAGAGGGCAAAAACACACACAAUAAUAAGACAAAAACAUAUAACAAGAAAUGCUGUUGUAUAAAGAGGUAAACAAUAGAUGAAUCUCACAGGCAUAACAAUGAGCAAAAGAGGCCAGAUACAGAGGAAUACAUGCUGUGUGGUUCCAUUUAUAUGAAGUUCAAGAACAGGUGCAACUAGGCCAGGCGCUGUGGCUCAUGCCUGUAAUCCCAGCACUUUGGGAGGCUGAGGCAGGUGGAGCACUUGAGGUCAGGAGUUCGAAACCAGCCUGGCCAACAUGGUGAAACCCUGUCUCUACUAAAAAUUACAAAAAAUUAGCCGGGCGUGGUGAUGCAUGCCUGUAGUUCCAACUACUCGGGAGGUUGAGGCAGAAGGAUCACUUGAAACUGGGAGGUGCAGGUUGCAGUGAGCCGAGAUGGUGUCACUGUACUCUAGCCUGAGUGAUAGAGCAAGACUCCAUCUAAAAAAAAAAAAAAAAAAAAAAAACAGGUUCAACUAAUCUGUGUUACUAGAAGUUAGAGUAGUGGUUUCCUCUUACAGGUGGGUAGAGGAUACUGGACUGAGAAAGGGCAGGAGGUGCUGAAAAUGUUCUAGAUCUUAAUCUGGAUAGUGGUUUCCAAGGCAAAUGCAUAUGUAAAAAGCCAUCAAGGGCACCAUAAAGAUGGAAGCCCUUUAUGUAUGUUAUCCAUACAUUUAAAAAAAAUGAAGAAAGUCUAUAGAUGCCUUAAAUGUGAUUGAACGUAGCUGUGUGGAAUUAUAACGAAUGAAGGUCAGAGAUAUGGUUUGGAUGUUUGUCCUCACCAAAUCUCAUGUUGAAAUGUGAUCUCCAGAGUUGGAGGUAGGGCCUGGUGGGAGGCGAUUGGAUCAUGGGGGUGGAUUCCUGAUGAAUGGUUUGGCACCAUCCCCUUGAUGAUAAGUGAGUUCUCUCUCAGUUAGUUCACGUGAAAUCUGUUGCUUAAGAGAGUCUGGGCUGGGCGCAGUGGCUCAUGCCUGUAAUCCCAGCACUUUGGGAGGCGGAGGAGGGCAGAUCACCAGGUCAGGAGAGAGAGACCAGCCUGACCAACAUGGUGAAACCCCGUCUCUACUAAAAAUACAAAAAUUAGCUGGGCGUGGUGGCAUGUGCCUGUAAUCCCAGCUACUUGGGAGGCUGAGGCAGGAGAAAUUGCUUGAAUCAGGGAGUCAGAGGUUGCAGGGAGCAGAGAUCACAACACUGCACUUCAGCCUGGCGACAGAGGGAGAAUCCAUCUCAAAAAAAAAAAGAGUGUGAGACCUCCCCCUUCACUCUCUCUUACUCCCACUCUCGCCAUGUGACACGCCUGCUCCUCCUUCAUCUUCUGGCAUGAUUGGGAGGUUCCUGAGGCCCUCGCCAGAAGCAGAUGCCAGCACCACGCUUCCUGUACAGCCUGCAGAACCACAAGCCAAAAUUAACCGCUUUUCUUUAUAAAUUACCCAGUCUUGGGUAUCGCUUUAUAGCAACGCAAGAACAGACUAACACAGUCAGAGGGAUUCAGGGCAGCCUGGAGUGGCCAAGGAGGAGGACUGUCCCUCAGAAAUUGUUUAGAAAUGUGGUUUCUGCAUGAUGAGGGACUUGACCUGGCAAAAAAGACACUGCCCAUGAGGAAUACCAAGAGGUUUCUAGAUAGAGAAAGACUGUGUUUCCAAGUUAUCAAAAAUAACUACGACAAACACCAAAGACUCAAAGACGAACGACCUGGCUUUCGGCAGAACAAAUGGCAAGCAUAUUCUGAGACUCAAGAAUUUGGGUGACAUUCGCUAUCCUGAAGCAGUUUCGGGUCAGAAUAUUUAAAGUCUUCUCACAACUGGUGAAAGCUAGACCUCAAACAACUG
rnacentral:lncRNA from 1 species